AUUGAACGCUGGCGGCAGGCCUAACACAUGCCAGUCGAGCGGAUGAAGGGAGCUUGCUCCUGGAUUCAGCGGCGGACGGGUGAGUAAUGCCUAGGAAUCUGCCUGGUAGUGGGGGAUAACGUCCGGAAACGGGCGCUAAUACCGCAUACGUCCUGAGGGAGAAAGUGGGGGAUCUUCGGAUCUCACGCUAUCAGAUGAGCCUAGGUCGGAUUAGCUAGUUGGUGGGGUAAAGGCCUACCAAGGCGACGAUCCGUAACUGGUCUGAGAGGAGGAUCAGUCAAACUGGAACUGGGACACGGUCCGGACUCCUACGGGAGGCAGCAGGGGGGAAUAUUGGACAAUGGGCGAAAGCCUGAUCCAGCCAUGCCGCGUGUGUGAAGAAGGUCUUCGGAUUGUAAAGCACUUUAAGUUGGGAGGAAGGGCAGUAAGUUAAUACCUUGCUGUUUUGACGUUACCAACAGAAUAAGCACCGGCUAACUUCGUG
rnacentral:rRNA from 1 species